rnacentral:rRNA from 1 species
GUGGGGAAUAUUGCACAAUGGGCGGAAGCCUGAUGCAGCGACGCCGCGUGAGGGAUGACGGCCUUCGGGUUGUAAACCUCUUUCAGCACGGAAGAAGCGAGAGUGACGGUACGUGCAGAAGAAGCGCCGGCUAACUACGUGCCAGCAGCCGCGGUAAUACGUAGGGCGCAAGCGUUGUCCGGAAUUAUUGGGCGUAAAGAGCUCGUAGGCGGUUUGUCGCGUCUGCUGUGAAAGCCCGGGGCUUAACCCCGGGUGUGCAGUGGGUACGGGCAGACUUGAGUGCAGUAGGGGAGACUGGAAUUCCUGGUGUAGCGGUGAAAUGCGCAGAUAUCAGGAGGAACACCGAUGGCGAAGGCAGGUCUCUGGGCUGUUACUGACGCUGAGGAGCGAAAGCAUGGGGAGCGAACAGG